rnacentral:rRNA from 1 species
UACGUAGGGUGCAAGCGUUGUCCGGAAUUAUUGGGCGUAAAGAGCUCGUAGGCGGUUUGUCGCGUCUGCUGUGAAAACUCGAGGCUCAACCUCGAGACGCCGAUGGAAACCAUCUGACUAGAGUCCGGAAGAGGAGAGUGGAAUUCCUGGUGUAGCGGUGAAAUGCGCAGAUAUCAGGAAGAACACCCGUGGCUAAGGCGGCUCUCUAGUACGGUACUGACGCUGAGACGCGAAAGCGUGGGGAGCGAACAGG